rnacentral:rRNA from 1 species
UACAGAGGGGGCAAGCGUUAUUCGGAAUUACUGGGCGUAAAGCGCGUGUAGGCGGCAAUGCAAGUCGGGCGUGAAAUCCCACGGCUCAACCGUGGAAGUGCACUCGAAACUGCAUAGCUAGAGUCCUGGAGAGGAAGGUGGAAUGCUUGGUGUAGAGGUGAAAUUCGCAGAUAUCAAGCGGAACACCGGUGGCGAAGGCGGCCUUCUGGACAGUGACUGACGCUGAGACGCGAAAGCGUGGGGAGCAAACAGG